CCCUUAGAUGUUCUGGGCCGCACGCGCGCUACACUGAUGCAUUCAACGAGUCUAAAACCUGGUCUGAUAGGGCUGGGUAAUCUUUUGAAUGUGCAUCGUGAUUGGGAUAGAUGAUUGCAAUUCUUCAUCUUCAACGAGGAAUGCCUAGUAAACGCAAGUCAUCAGCUUGCAUUGAUUACGUCCCUGCCCUUUGUACACACCGCCCGUCGCUGCCCGGAACUGAGCCGUUUCGAGAAGACUGAGGAUUGCUGACUUGAGGCCUUCACGGGCUUCUAGUCGGUGAAAAUCAAUUUAAUCGCAGCGGCUUGAACCGGGCAAAAGUCGUAACA
rnacentral:rRNA from 1 species